rnacentral:lncRNA from 1 species
CUUUGCUAGAUCUGCUGCUAAAGAGCAGGAAAACGCAGCCACAGAGCACACAGCUGACAAGCUCUAUUGAUGAAAGGCUUAUUUUUUGCAGAGGCUUGUUUUCUAGACAUCGGGGAAAACAGGAAGGAGGGACUGACAUGACUGAAAUAUGGCAGACUGAUUUCCAAGGGUAUAAUGGGAACAGUAUCCUGAAACGAACUGCACCCAACUUUGCCAUCCACAACACAUCGCCAGGAGAAAACAAGCCUCAACAGAAGAAACAGCAGGUAAGACUAGCACUGAUGUCUGAAGGCUGUGCAUGGGUCAACAUCACAGGAGGGUCCACCUUCCCCAAAACAGAAGGAAAACCCUAACAGCAGUGCAUCCUGCCUGUGGGGCAUCCUUUCAAUAGUGACUCAAAAGUUAAUGUUUUGGGCAUGUGCCAAAAGCAUCGAAGAUCAUGGAAGCCUGGACAUGGUUUGCUUGUCUUCUGGAUCAGCACGUUUCCUGUCUUCGUUACUGCCUGGUGCAUGCGUCGCUUAUUUGACUGCUGUUUCCUCAUCUCAGAUCUGUAUGCGGUCCACUAGGAUAACACCUGCCUGAUGCAAUCCCUGAUGGUUAUCGAGGAGCUGAAAGAUCAGCCCAUAGCUCUGAGAUGCUUCAGAGUGCGACAUCACUGAACACCACAGGAUUAGCAGUUCUAAAAUAAAAGGGACUAGAAAACAAAAGAUCA